UAAGACAGAGGGUGCAAACGUUGCUCGGAAUUACUGGGCGUAAAGCGCGUGUAGGCGGUCGAUUUAGUCGACUGUGAAAGCCCACGGCUCAACCGUGGAAGUGCAGUCGAAACUGGCUGACUAGAGUCCUGGAGAGGGUGGCGGAAUUCCCAGUGUAGAGGUGAAAUUCGUAGAUAUUGGGAGGAACACCGGUGGCGAAGGCGGCCACCUGGACAGGUACUAACGCUGAGACGCGAAAGCGUGGGGAGCAAACAGGAUUAGAUACCCUGGUAGUCCACGCCGUAAACGAUGAGCACUAGGUGUUGCGGGUAUUGACCCCUGCAGUGCCGACGCUAACGCAUUAAGUGCUCCGCCUGGGGAGUACGGCCGCAAGGCUA
rnacentral:rRNA from 1 species